rnacentral:rRNA from 1 species
GUUAGGAAUAUUGGACAAUGGGCGAAAGCCUGAUCCAGCCAUGCCGCGUGAACGAUGAAGGCCUUCGGGUUGUAAAGUUCUUUAGCCGAUGAUUAUAAUGACUGUAGUCGGAAAAUAAGCCCCGGCUAACUUCGUGCCAGCAGCCGCGGUAAUACGAAGGGGGCGAGCGUUAUUCGGAAUCACUGGGCGUAAAGCGUGCGUAGGCGGUUUUGUAAGUUAGGAGUGAAAGCCCAGGGCUCAACCUUGGAAUUGCUCUUAAAACUGCAAGGCUCGAAUCUCGGAGAGGAUAGCGGAAUUUCCAGUGUAGCAGUGAAAUGCGUAGAUAUUGGAGGGAACACCAGUGGCGUAAGCGGCUAUCUGGACGAGUAUUGACGCUGAGGCACGAAAGCGUGGGGAUCAAACAGGAUUAGAAACCCUGGUAGUCC